rnacentral:rRNA from 1 species
UUUAGAGUUUGAUCCUGGCUCAGAUUGAACGCUGGCGGCAGGCUUAACACAUGCAAGUCGAGCGGAGAGAGGUAGCUUGCUACCGAUCUUAGCGGCGGACGGGUGAGUAAUGCUUAGGAAUCUGCCUAUUAGUGGGGGACAACAUUUCGAAAGGAAUGCUAAUACCGCAUACGUCCUACGGGAGAAAGCAGGGGAUCUUCGGACCUUGCGCUAAUAGAUGAGCCUAAGUCGGAUUAGCUAGUUGGUGGGGUAAAGGCCUACCAAGGCGACGAUCUGUAGCGGGUCUGAGAGGAUGAUCCGCCACACUGGGACUGAGACACGGCCCAGACUCCUACGGGAGGCAGCAGUGGGGAAUAUUGGACAAUGGGCGCAAGCCUGAUCCAGCCAUGCCGCGUGUGUGAAGAAGGCCUUAUGGUUGUAAAGCACUUUAAGCGAGGAGGAGGCUACUUUAGUUAAUACCUAGAGAUAGUGGACGUUACUCGCAGAAUAAGCACCGGCUAACUCUGUGCCAGCAGCCGCGGUAAUACAGAGGGUGCAAGCGUUAAUCGGAUUUACUGGGCGUAAAGCGCGCGUAGGCGGCUAAUUAAGUCAAAUGUGAAAUCCCCGAGCUUAACUUGGGAAUUGCAUUCGAUACUGGUUAGCUAGAGUGUGGGAGAGGAUGGUAGAAUUCCAGGUGUAGCGGUGAAAUGCGUAGAGAUCUGGAGGAAUACCGAUGGCGAAGSCMGCCAUCUGGCCUAACACUGACGYKAGKYGRAC